rnacentral:misc_RNA from 1 species
GGACGGCUUCACUACCGGCCAUCAUUGCCCGUCGCGACUUGUUUACAGUGUAGGCGUGGGAAAGGCGGUGAUGUUUACCCUAUUUCACCCUUAUUAGUAACUUCCCCUUGGUCCAAAUAGUGUCCAGGAGAGCCAGUGCCCCUCGCAGAGAUGGCAGAGCUUGAAGAAGAGCUGAUUGGUGAGGAUCUUGACUAUGAGUAUGACUUGGAUGAGGAAGAGGAAGAGGCACUGCUGGCAGGAGAAGAUCCUUCACAUGAGGGAGCUGUUGAUGACAUAAUUGAGUUAAGAGUGGAAGAUGAGUUUGAUGAGGAUGAUGGUGGUCAGAUGGGCCAUACCAAGAGUGUCCACAGUAGACUACAGCCUGCCGAGUCAGUGUUUGAAGAGGACCUGGAACAUCAGUAUGAGGAUUCAUCAAUGAGUAAUGUUCGAGUGGAAACCCAGAAUAUCGUUGAGGAAGAAGAGGAGGAGGAAGAAGAAGAGGAAGAGGAUGAUGAAGAGGGGAGAAGCCGUGACAGAUUCAAGAGUGAGCGGUCCAAGAUCUCCCUCACCAACACCACAGUGGAACGCAUCAUCCCAGAGUCCCUUGAUGAAGUUCAAGUGAAGAAGCAUGAUUUGGUGGACAACAGAAGAGGCCACGGUGGACGGGGAGGGUAUGGGCGGGACCGUGGCCGAGGGUGGGGUGGUGGUGGUGGCGGAAACUGGGGUCGUGGAAUGAACAGAGGGUGUAAUGGGCCCCCACCAAGAGGAGGAAUGCUACCCCAGCCUCACCUGUCCCGUUUCCAGCCUCCCAGACCUAUGCAGAUUCCAACAUGGGAGCCACUCAUGUAUGCUGCACAGAUGCAGAUGUCCAAGGCGGGGAUGCCCAUGAACCGCAACGGCCCCCCAGGGAUGGGUCGGCCUCCUCCUCUCCCCAUGGUGUCCCUGGCCAACUCCCUCAUCCAGCGGCCUCCACCACUCAUGAGCCACAAUCCAGGCUUCCCUAGACUGCAGAUCAGGAAUAGUUCUCAGUGGAGUACAGGUGUGCUUCCCUUGGGGGCUGGAGCAAUACUGAACCAGUUUGUGCAGCAGUCCCAGCCCAUGCCCAGGGAUGACUUGCGCAACUCCCUCAAAAGACACAAUGAGCCACCCAAUAUUCCACCAAAGCAGAUGAGAGUUGGUCAGCCACCUCCUCCCAUGAACAACCAACAGGCCAUGGCAAGGAAGAAGCUCAACAAUGCCAUGAAUCGUCAGCGUGGUGGCCCCGUCAAGAAGACUCCCAUCAGCUCCAGGCUGUCAAUGCCGCCUGCCAACACCAACCCCAACCUCACUACCAUCAAGACUGUGGACAUUGGACAGAUGAACAAGCAGGGACAGGACAGCAGACCUCAACAAAACCAAGGAAACAACCAGUCACAGAAUCAGCAAGGUAAUCAGUUUAACAGGGGUAACCAGCAGCAGCAGAAACAGCAACAGAAGCAGCAACAACCAUCUCAAAAUCAACAGCAAGAACAGAAACAGAAAGAACUGGAACAAAAAGAGCAAGAUAACAGACAGCAAGGGAUGCUAAUAAAAGAUUCACCUAAGUCAGCAGACAAAAAUGCACCUGAGGAAAUGGUCAUUGAUGAUCCCGAGUAUCAUAAAAAACUGUUACGUCAGAAGCAGCUAAGGGAACAGCUGUUAGCCAAGAAGGAAGCUCGUCGAAAGGCUGCUGCUGUUAUAAAGGCAAGUGAAAUUGCAACAAGGAAGGCACGACAGGAGAUGGAAAACAAGAAAUCUGAUGGCCCAAAACCUGGAGACCAGCAGGUGCCACCGGCUCACCUGCCUCCCCAACAGGAACAGCAGCAGGCCAAGCAGCACCAGCCACCACCUGGGAGAGGACCAAAAGGGCCAGGAGGACCAGGAGGACCAGGCCUGGACCACCCUCACCAUCCAGCUGGCAACUCUGGCUUGUCACAGAGCCCCACACGGCAGCCAUUCAACAGGCAGCGAGGUGGUGCAAACUCCAAUCGAGGAAGAGGCGGUAUGCACCACAACCAGCCACGUUUCCCCCGUGACUCAGGACAUCCAGACCAUCCUCACAACCACCACGAGCACCGGCGACCUCCUCGUGAAGAGCCAGGCUUCCCGCUGAGAUCACCUGCACCACUCUUUACUGAGCCUCCACCCCCAAGAGGCACUGAUCCAGGAUUCCUGCAGGACAGGCCCAGGCAACUCUUUGGACCACAGCACCAGCCUGGUGGACGCCAGUCCCAUCAUGGCCCACCCCAAGAUGAGCCUCCACACCAGCAGAGGCCUCCACCUCACCUCCUGCCCCCAACACACCACCCACCUCCUCCAUUGCCACAUCCAAAUCACCCACCUCCCCACACACAUCACCCACCACCACACCAUCCUCAGUCAUCUCCAACUUCAUCACACCAUCCCCACAAUCAGCCACCUCCACAUCACCAUCACCGCAUUGAAACUGUCCAUCAUCAGCCUCCUCCAAUUCCUCCACCUCAUCACCAUCACUCUGACCUCUCACAGCCACCACCCCUGCCUCACCACGGCCUCCCACCAAACACCUCCCGCCCUCCUCAGGACCCACACACAUCUCCCCAACCAGACUUUCCACCUCACAGAGACCACCACCCUCACCACCACCAGAACCAGUACCCACCCCAGCCAGACGCGUUUCCCCCACGAGUGCCCCCGCCAGCCCUGCCCCACGGUAAGGAGAGCCGCCACCAUGACUAUGGGUCCGAGGGGCGGUAUGGAGAACCCCCUCCGUGGGAAAGCCGCCAGCAGGGCUACAAGGAUUAUGAAGACAAUUACAGGGAACCGUACGAAGAUGAUUAUUACCGUAAGGAUCACCAUUAUGACAGCCAUGGGUACCAAGACCACUACAGACAGAGCGAUGACGCAUAUGAAGACCCUGACCAGCGUUACAGGGAGGACUACCAGAAGCAUCGCCAGCAGCAUCAACAAAACCAGCAGCACCAACAUCAGCACCAGCACCACCAGCAGCAGGAGUACCCAGAGGACCACUACCACCAUGAGGAGUACAAUAACAGCAAUUACAGGGAGAAGUACCAGGAGACCCCAGAGUACGAGCAGCCAAAGAGACCUAGAGAUGUUAAGAGUCGCCUUGGUGGUCGCCUGGAUGUACCUCAAAAUCCACACAACCUCCAGGUCAAGGUGGUGCAGACUUCAGGGCAAGAUCAGGAGGCUCCACAACUUCAACAGGAGGGCCAAAAGAUUCAAACAGUGCAGCGCCAGAAGACAGCAGUGUCUCGUAAAUUUCGCAGAAUCACUCGCAGGAGUCCACAUGGAGAGAUUGUAUCUAUUACUAGGAUUCCAGUUGAUGAAGAUGGGAACCAGAUUGGACCACAGAUUACUGAAUAUGAAGCAAGUGAGGCAGGUGCAGAUAAACCUGACAGUACAGGAUCAGUAGCACAGUUUCCACAGUCGCGUCCUGUUGUUAAAAAUUUGCGGCAAAUUGUGAGGAAAGUGCCUGUAACUCGUCAGCAACAGCAGCAACAGCAACAGCAGCAGCAACAGCAGGUUAAAUUACGAGAACUUUCACAAAUUAACCAAUCAGGUGGCCAGCAACAAUCACAACAGCAAGUGAAAAUUGUGAAGAGAACAGUUUUAUCCUCUGGGGAAACACCAUCACAGUGCUUACUCUCAGACAAGCAGCACAGGUCGCCGUAUUGUGACCAGCACCAGCAGCGCCGGGGGACGAGGCGGCACCAUGCGCGUGGGUACUGGAAUCCGCAGGGUAGUGACAGCAGGACCAACCACCUCAACCAACCAGGAGCUACCCACUGUCCAACUGUGUGACCUUCCUUCUAAUCUCACUCUGUCAGACAUUAACCAAAUGGUGGCUGAUGCAGGGGUAGGGCAGCCCGUGAGUGUUGACUAUAUUCCAGGCUCUCGUGAGUGCAUGUUGAGGUUUCAAGUAGCAGAAGUCGCUGCUAAAUUCUCUCAAAAAAUUAAUCGGAGGAUGGUAAACAUGUCCUUCAUUAGAGCCAGUGCAAUUCUGUAAGUAUUACC